UCAUUUAUUUAUUAAAUUCAUGUAUUGUAUUACUUGUCAAAUCUUAAGCAAGCUUAAUUUUUACACAUUACUAUCAUUAAUUAUGUUCAGGUAAAAAUUAUACAAACAAUGUCUACAAUUUACACAAGGCCGUUAGGUUUCGCGCUCAAUGUCAGCACGAGUAUCUUGCUUUUAAAUUCGAAUAGACAUAAAAAGACAGUUUCAAUGUACCAUAUUGUUAGUUGUUGAAAAAUCAUCCAGGAGUUGGACGGAAAAACCCUCCCAUCCCUCCCUUUAAACAUAUUUCUGCUGUUUCUGAAUUUAUUUUACAGGUUGCAGUUUUCAUUAAUAUUUUGGAAAUUCUAUCCAUGUACAUAAGAAGAUCAUCAAAAAAUCGUCAUGGCAGAACUUGUUUGGACUUUAUUGAUUAUGGAGAUGGCGGAUUUAUCGAAAUUCACUGCUUUGGUGACCCAGCAGAGACAAUUGUUAUACACUGACUGGUACACCCAUGAGUGUUUGAUUUUGUGUUAUUUGUUUGAAGAAAAUUAAAUUGUCAUGACAAAUAAGCAGCCAAAAACUAA